CUGCAUCUUGUGUAGACUGUUUACAUAUUUGACCAGGAGUCACUGCUCAACCAGUCUGGAGCACCUGAUGAUUAGGUGCAGGCCUUUUUACUUUCCUUAAGCCGUGGAUGAACAGAGAGAUGGCUAAAGUCCCACGACGCUGCUUUCAGAUCAAGCGAUGCAGAAUCCAGGACCAACCUGAAAAGUGGCAUCAAGAUGGCUAAAAAUGACCACAAACUGCAGAUUGAGGCGCACUUCAACAACAACUCUGAGUCCUGACGCAUGUGGCGGGGCAUCCAAGCCAUCACAGACUACCGGCCAAAGAACACUACCUCCACAGCCAGCGACGUCUCCUUCGCCGACGAGUUAAACAGGUUCUACGCUCGCUUCGACAGGGACAACAAAAAGCCAGCCACCAAAGCUGAACUUUGGACGAAUUUUGACGAACUGUGCCAAGGUGUGGUUUUGCAGAUGGUCCCUGGCUGACUGGAAGGCCCUGCAACGAGUGGUGAAAACCACCCAACACAUCACUGGUGCCCAGCUCCUAGCCAUCGUGGACUUUCAGAGCAAGUGGUGUCUGCGCAGGACACGCAGGAUCAUCAGAGACCCUUCACACCCAGGCCACUAACUGUUUGCCCUCCUACCAUCAGAGAGGCGGUACAGGUCUCUUUGUUCCAUAAGUAAACAUACCCACCGGUCCACUGCUUAGUUCUGCCUCUCAGGGACCUUGUUGCACUACUCCCUUGUACUACUUGUCUACCUCAGGAUCCUCAUUGAUGCUAACCCUGCAUUUCAGUUGCACAGACUACAUUACACCUCCAACUUGCUCGAUUCCACAGUCAGAAUUGUUAUUUGUACUUGCAUUUCCCUCAACGCACAACGAUUAAUUCCAACUUACACAUACGUAUUCCUUGUAAAUUAGUACAUUUUCUGCCCUCCCCAAUUUGCAUUCAUUGCUCAUUUAGAAUUGCCAUUUUGCACUGUAUUUGCCUUCAUUGCACAUCUGUACAUUGCACUCGUAAG
ensembl:lncRNA